AGAGUUUGAUCCUGGCUCAGGACGAACGCUGGCGGCGUGCUUAGCACAUGCAAGUCGAACGAAUGAACUUCAGUGGACUUCUUCGGAAAGAAACAGAAAUGAUUUAGUGGCGAACGGGUGAGUAACACGUGAGAAACCUGCCUAUCACAAGGGGAUAGCCUCCGGAAACGGUGAUUAAUACCCUAUGACAUCACAAUAUCGCAUGGUAUAGUGAUCAAAGAUUUAUCGGUGAUAGAUGGUCUUGCGGCUGAUUAGCUAGUUGGUAAGGUAACUGCUUACCAAGGCAACGAUCAGUAUCCGGCUUGAGAGGGUGAACGGACACACUGGAACUGAGACACGGUCCAGACUCCUACGGGAGGCAGCAGUGGGGAAUAUUGCACAAUGGGCGAAAGCCUGAUGCAGCAACGCCGCGUGAGCGAUGAAGGCCUUCGGGUCGUAAAGCUCUGUCCUCAAGGAAGAUAAUGACGGUACUUGAGGAGGAAGCCCCGGCUAACUACGUGCCAGCAGCCCCGGUAAUACGUAGGGGGCUAGCGUUAUCCGGAAUUACUGGGCGUAAAGGGUGCGUAGGUGGUUUCUUAAAUCAGAGGUGAAAGGCUACGGCUCCAACCGAAGUAAGCCUUUGAACUGGGAAACUUUGAGUGCAGGAAAGGAAAGGUGGGAAUCCUAGGGUACCGGGGAAAUGCGUAAAAAAUUAGGAGGAACCCCAUUUUGCAAAGGCGGCUCUCGGGACGGAAACUGAACCUGAGGGCCCAAAACCGGGGGGGACCAAACAGGAAUAAAAACCC
rnacentral:rRNA from 1 species